CACAUUCCCAUUGAAACAGGUUAACGAUUAUGCUACUCAACAGGUAUGCAUCCGAUGAAGAAAUCACAAUGUUUGUGCAAUACUUUAUCAAAUAUGUCCCGUGGGUUUACUUGAUGCCAUUGACAUAGGAAGUGUGUAGGCCGUCAUAAAAUGAAAGUGCUUUUUUAGGUCAGAGGAAGACUUGCACUUAUAUCUUGUACUCAGAAGAAGAGAAAAAGGGCACGAGUGACUGUAAAGUAGGUCAACCGUGACAAAUAUGACAUACUUUCUUAACCUAUGAGAAUUUGUCGUUUUUUGAAUAACCACAGCCUUUGUUAACGUGCCAUUGUUACGUGCCAUUGUUAUAGUACUUAUACAUUAUCUAUUACCCAAGGCAUCCUUUAAAACAGGCCUUAUGUUGCUGUAUCAUUUAAAACUAUAAAAUGUGUUGAACUUUUCUAUUCACUGUCAAGCACCUUCAGAUUGUCUCUGAAAAUGAAAAGUGCAUACCAAUCAAAUAUAGUUAGAUCAAGAAAAUUGAUAGUUCAACAAAAUAAAAUACUAAUUAAAGAUACAAACAUAAAAUCGCACUACCUAUCUUUCUAUCUAUAAUGUAUUAAUAAGCAAUCUGGUACUGCUGAUCAGAAGUGACAAGCAUUGAGGGAAGUGGGCUUAAGAUCAGGGGUUCCAUCUGACCCAAAUACAUUCAGCAUCAUCAUUGCAAUUGCAUUUGUUCCUGAAACCAGGGUUCUUUCCGAUCAUCUUGGGGCCACAGGUCACAUCCUACAUGUUCAGAAGUGUCACGCAAAAGGGUGUCGCCCUGGUGAAUUGGCGUCCUAGAUGAUGUCACUUUUACAGAGGCCUUGCCUAAAAUCGAUAGUGAUUUUUGUUUCUGGCAGACAUAAAAAUUCUGGGGUGCCUCGGUGGCUCACUUGUUCGAGUGCAUAUAGGCCCAGUCCUGAACUCAGCGACCCGGGUUCGACUCCUACCCGUGGUCAUCUGCUGCACGUCCUCCCAUACCUUCCUCUCUAUCUCAUUCUACAAGAAAGCAUAAAAAUGCAAAAAUAAAUCUUAAAAAAACAACACAGUAUCGUUUUCUUAAACUUUGUGUUUGAAUUCCAUAUACUAGAUACUAUUAAUGCUAUAGAUAACAAGGCUAGGGUGCCAACCAUGAUGACUACUGGUCUUGUUGAAAGCAGUGAGUUUUGCAUCAAACUUCAUUAAUAGUACAGGUAUUUUCCCACUAAUUGACGCUAGACCUCCCAGGUGCAUUGGACAGUAAUUCAUUUGCCAACAGAAAAGUGUUUUGAGUUGCGAAAAGUCGUGUGUUUGGGGUGUUUUUUUUUCUUCUCUUUAUAGGUCCCAAUAGGUUUAUCCUUAAGCUGGAUAAACAGUGAUUUAAGGAGUAAUCAAAUGUUUUAUUGAGGUUCCCAACAGGUGCAUGGUUAUCUUAAAAGCAAGUUGAUCCAGGAUGCCAUAAACGCACAACAUUAAGAUUUCAUUGUAAAUAGUUGUUUUUGUUGUCUAUGUCUUGA
ensembl:lncRNA